rnacentral:sRNA from 1 species
GCUUCCGGAGAGCGGGGCCUGCGCGCUGCUCUUCCCCGCGGAGCCCGCGCAGUCCGCGCAGCCCUCAUCGCAACGGGGCCCGCGCGCAGGAUGGCUGCUCCAUGAGGUCAAGACUGGGUCUCCUCCCUCCUCCCCCUUCACCAAUGCCUGGUCUCACGGGGCUAGUUUUGACCCCCACGCUAUGGCAUCAUCGACCUCCCUCCCAGCUCCUGGCUCUCGGCCUAAGAAGCCUCUAGGCAAGAUGGCUGAACCAUUUAGAGGAGAAGCCAAGCAGAGAGAGAAAAUGAAUCAAUCCCCACCACAACUAUCUGUCCUUAUCAAAGGCUGGGGAAGCUGUUUUCAUCUCCUUAUGGAAUCCCAUACUCCAAACACAGACCUGAGCAGUGUUUCUCCCCCACAGACUGGUUCAGGCAGACCCUGCUGAAGAAGCCCAAGAAGAGGCCCGGCUCCCUGACAUACCUGACACUGCAUUAUCUCAGUUAACUUUCAGCAACUAAGACAGGUCCGCAAGUCCCCAGUCAAAGCCGUGUCCCUGACUCCAGAGU